rnacentral:sRNA from 1 species
CCGGGCCGCCUCCCUGAAGGGCUCAGCCGCCAGGCCAGUCCUCGCCCGCGGAGGCCCAGCCCCAGGCCCCGUCGCCGGUGCGGCGCGGUGGUCCUCCUGUCAGCCCAGCCCUGCGCCCCGCGAGGCCGCGACACCUGCGGACGGCGGGGGGGAGACGUGGCCGCUCCCAGGGCCGCGCGUCGGCCCUGCCUGGCGACAGGCCCUGGCUUCCAGAAGUUCCCAUGGCAGUGUCCCCAGCUGCCUUUCCUUGGGGACACCUGGCCCCUGCCCCCUCUCUGGUGGAAGCCGCCUAAGCCCUAUCCGAGUGUUGGAAGCAAAGCAGCCCCCAGCCUGGCCCUUCCAGUCUUGGUGGCUUCAUCCCACCAGGGGGAUGCGAGCCAGCCUAGAGACAGUUAGCUCUGCAGAGAGGCGACACAUCUCCCUAAGGAUGGGAAAACGGUGGCCGGGAGCUGCGCAGUGCCCUUCCAGGACUGCAGGAGUGGUUGUGGCCGUGGCUGCAGGGCAGGGCCUCCUGGCACGUGGCCGCUGUUUGAAGCCUCUGUCUCUUGUCUCUCCCUUCUGAUCUAGCUCUGGCAGGCUGCCCUGAGCACGCUCAACCCCAACCCCACGGACAGCUGUCCCCUCUACCUGAACUACGCCACCGUGGCUGCCCUGCCCUGCAGGGUGAGCCGGCACAACAGCCCCUCGGCCGCCCACUUCAUCACGCGGCUGGUGCGGACCUGCCUGCCGCCCGGAGCCCAUCGCUGCAUUGUGAUGGUCUGCGAGCAGCCGGAGGUCUUUGCUUCCGCCUGUGCCCUGGCCCGGGCCUUCCCGCUGUUCACCCACCGCUCAGGUGCCUCUCGGCGCUUGGAGAAGAAGACGGUCACCGUGGAGUUUUUCCUGGUGGGACAAGACAACGGGCCGGUGGAGGUGUCCACAUUGCAGUGCUUAGCGAAUGCCACAGACGGCGUGCGGCUAGCGGCCCGCAUCGUGGACACACCCUGCAAUGAGAUGAACACCGACACCUUCCUCGAGGAGAUUAACAAAGUUGGAAAGGAGCUGGGGAUCAUCCCAACCAUCAUCCGAGAUGAGGAACUGAAGACGAGAGGAUUUGGAGGAAUCUAUGGGGUUGGCAAAGCUGCCCUGCAUCCCCCAGCCCUGGCCGUCCUCAGCCACACCCCAGAUGGAGCCACGCAGACCAUCGCCUGGGUGGGCAAAGGCAUCGUCUAUGACACUGGAGGCCUCAGCAUCAAAGGGAAGACUACCAUGCCGGGGAUGAAGCGAGACUGCGGGGGUGCUGCGGCCGUCCUGGGGGCCUUCAGAGCCGCAAUCAAGCAGGGUUUCAAAGACAACCUCCACGCUGUGUUCUGCUUGGCUGAGAACUCGGUGGGGCCCAACGCGACAAGGCCAGAUGACAUCCACCUGCUGUACUCAGGGAAGUACGUCUGGCCCUCCCACUCCUUCCUGCCCACUGUUGGAACUCGCGACCCUUCCCGGCCUGCAAUGCCAGCUCACUCCAGGCAUAUCGGGAGGGCACUCAGCGUUGGGGUCCCCUGGGCAGCAGGCUCCUUGCUUCCCGGAGGGCUGGGGAGCUUUGGUAGCAGGCGCAGCUCACGUUGAGGGGCCCAUGGCACCUGGAUGAGGUGCUAGGCUCCCGUACAGUGCCUGGCCCAGGAGCUCGUGGUCUACCCUGCAUUACCAGGACAGGCCUUUCCAAAAUUUAGGCCUGAAACCUUUGGGUGUGUGAAGCUCUGACCCCCAGAUUCCCUGCUCGGGGACACCUCCUGCAUCUCCCCCUUGAGAUUGACCCUGGAAAGUCAAAGCUGAGCUGGCAGCUGAGGAGCAAGUGGCUCCAGAAUUCAAAAGAGAAGAGCCCUCUCCCCAGCCCCAUGAGCUGGUGCCUGAGUGGGCGCCUCCCCGCAUCUCCUGCUCUUCCUCAUCUGCCGGGUGCCAGGCACAGUGUGCUGAAGGCCAGCCCAGCCGGUUCAUGCCACCCACUUUAUAGAAGAAGAAACUGAGGCAUGGGGGAGCCAAAUGGCUGGUCCCUGGCUCUCCAGAGCAGCGGGGCAGGGAUGUCACCUGGAAGCCCUUUGCUCCAGGCACUGCAUUGCUGUAGGGACUGGGGGCAUCCCGGCCUUCCCAGUGGGGAACGUGUUGGGGUUUGGGGAGCCACAGGGAUGGACAGCUCCAAAUGGGGUCUUCCCAGUUUCAAAGGGGCUCACGCCAGUGUCCCAGGAAAUCCCGUCCCUGAGCGGGGAUCUCUACCAUGCCCCAGGACGGUGGAAAUCAACAACACGGACGCCGAGGGCAGGCUGGUGCUGGCAGAUGGCGUGUCCUAUGCUUGCAAGGACCUGGGGGCCGACAUCAUCCUGGACAUGGCCACCCUGACCGGGGCUCAGGUGAGUGCUCCCUGGAUCCACCCCUUAGCUGUGGUCCCAGGGAACCCCACCCCACUCUUGACCUCGAGGUGGGGAAGGCAGCGCGUGGGGGCUGCCGUCAGGAAGUUUUCAUAACUGGGCACGAGGAGGCAGGAGGAGCUGCCCGUCAAGCUUGGUGUGGGCAGUGCCGAGGCCCAGGCUGGAUGCAGAGCUGGGAACCGCCUCCUGUGUGCUUCAUGGCCAUGGUCCUUUCUGCCUGUGUUUUUUCUUUUUUUCUCAACCGUCUCUUUUCUGGCUCCCUUAUUUCUCUGUCUGCCUCCCGGUCCCUCUUUUGCCUUGGGUGUUUCUCUCCUGCCGUCCCGUCCACACGCUUCCCGGGUUCCUGCCCGCCCAGGGCAUUGCCACAGGGAAGUACCACGCCGCGGUGCUCACCAACAGCGCUGAGUGGGAGGCCGCCUGUGUGAAGGCGGGCAGGAAGUGUGGGGACCUGGUGCACCCGCUGGUCUACUGCCCCGAGCUGCACUUCAGCGAGUUCACCUCAGCUGUGGCGGACAUGAAGAACUCAGUGGCGGUAGGUUUGGAGCCUUGAACCUGGAGCCUGCCACAUGGGUGGAGCCGGGCAGGCGGAGCCCUGCCUUCAGGGUGCUGGUGCACCCAGGGAGCUGGGGCCCCCCAGAAGCAACCACAGUGCAGACGAGGGCUUGAGAGGCAGGCGUCAGGGUACAGGAGUCAUCCCAGACAGCGUGGGCCACUCACUGGCUUCCCUGCCACACAGCCAGGGGUUUCUCCCCCAGUCUUGGGUCUGGCUCAGUUGCCCCAUCAGGCCCUUUGCUGGCUUCCCCCUUGGCCUAUGGUGGGGGCAGACUCCUUAGCUCAUGGUCAAGGCCCUCCCAGCCCAGCUUCAGCUGCCUCCCCACACGCUCCCUCCCAGCCACCCCGAGCUCCUUGCAGACAGCAAUAGUGACAGGCGAUGGGGCAGGGUGGAGAGGGCCCGGCCGGAGCAACCCACAGGCACUGUGUCCUCCUGGCCUCCCUAGGACCGAGACAACAGCCCCAGCUCCUGUGCUGGCCUCUUCAUCGCCUCACACAUCGGCUUCGACUGGCCCGGAGUCUGGGUCCACCUGGACAUUGCUGCACCGGUGCAUGCCGUGAGUGUCCCCCCUCCCCACUGGCCCUGGCUGCUCCCGCCCUCUUGUCCAAACAGCACCCCUCUGGCUCUGGAGCUGCUGGCAGAGCUCAUCAGAAACUUCUGUCUGUGACCCAGCUUCCAGCCCACUGUCCCCACCACCCCCAGGUCUCAUCCUCCCUGGGAACAGAGUGGCUGCUGUGUACGACCCUUCCCCAGCCAGCCUGUCCUCCAUAGGGGAUCCUGGGCCCUGUCUCACCCAUCCCCACCCUGAGGAGCUCCCGGGGUGAAGGCAGAGCACACAGGGCCUUGCCCCCUGCCUAUGCCUGGCCUGCCGGCCCUGAACGUGUCCAGCCAGCAGCAUGGAAGGCUCUGGGCUCCGGCUGGUGCUCAGGAUCUCCUUCCUGAGAAGGGGACUGUGGGGCACGUGGAGGGGACCCAGGAGGUGAGGGGUCCCCAGGAACCCCUCCUGUGCUGCAGCCCCACGCCCAGAGUCUGUGUCCUGCCCUUUGCUUGCAGGGUGAGCGAGCCACAGGCUUCGGUGUGGCCCUCCUGCUGGCGCUCUUUGGCCGUGCCUCUGAGGACCCUCUGCUGAACCUGGUGUCCCCACUGGGCUGUGAGGUGGAUGUCGAGGAGGGGGACGUGGGGAGGGACUCCAAGAGACGCAGGCUUGUGUGAGCCUCCUGCCUCGGCCCUGACAAACGGGGAUCUUUUACCUCACUUUGCACUGAUUAAUUUUAAGCAAUUGAAAGAUUGCCCUUCAUAUGGGUUUUGGUUUGUCUUUCUGGUCGUCAGCAUGGUGGUGGAAACAGCUAAAGUUUUAGGAGACGGCUUAGGGUUUGGUGCGGGCCACGGGGAGGGGACCGGGAAGCGCUGGGGCUUGUUUCUGUUACUUACAGGACUGAGACAUCUUCUGUAAACUGCUACCCCUGGGGCCUUCUGCACCCCGGGGUGAGGCCUCCUGCCUGCCUGGUGCCCUGUCCCAGCCCCAGGUCCUGUGCAGGGCACCUGCGUGGCUGACAGCCAGGCUCUUACUCCAGCCGGGGCUGCCAGCGCAUCCAGCCAGCCCAGCCCUGUGAAAGAUGGAGCUGACUUGCUGCAGGGGACCUGAUUUAUAGGGCAAGAGAAGUCACACUCUGGCCUCUCAGAAUUCACUUGAGGUUCAAUUAAAUACAGUCACACCACCCCCUCA